GAUGAAUGCUGGCGGCGUGCCUAACACAUGCAAGUCGAGCGGCAGCGAGUUUUACACUGAAUUCUGGAAGCUUCUGAGUAGUACAGAAGAUUUAUUCAAGAGUUUUGUGUAACAUGUCGGCGAGCGGCGGACGGCUGAGUAACGCGUAGGAAUUUGCCCCAAAGUGAGGAAUAACUGCCCGAAAGGGUAGCUAAUGCCGCAUAUGGGCUUCGGAUUAAAGCCUUCGGGCGCUUUGGGAGAAGCCUGCGUUGGAUUAGGUAGUUGGUAGGGUAAUGGCCUACCAAGCCGACGAUCCAUAGCUGGUCUGAGAGGAUGAUCAGCCAGACUGGAACUGAGACACGGUCCAGACUCCUACGGGAGGCAGCAGUGAGGAAUCUUCCACAAUGGGCGAAAGCCUGAUGGAGCAACGCCGCGUGAAGGAUGAAGGCCUUCGGGUUGUAAACUUCUUUUAUGAGUGAAGAAUAUGACGGUAACUCAUGAAUAAGCACCGGCUAACUACGUG
rnacentral:rRNA from 1 species